rnacentral:rRNA from 1 species
GAUGAACGCUGGCGGCGUGCCUAAUACAUGCAAGUCGAGCGAACGGACGAGAAGCUUGCUUCUCUGAUGUUAGCGGCGGACGGGGAGUAACCCGUGGGUAACCUACCUAUAAGACUGGGGUAACUUCGGGAAACCGGAGCUAAUACCGGGAAAUAUUUUUAACCGCAUGGUUCAAAAGGGAAAGACGGUCUUGCUGUCACCUAUAGGUGGAUCCGCGCUGCAUUAGCUAGUUGGUAAGGUAACGGCUUACCAAGGCAACGAUGCAUAGCCGACCUGAGAGGGUGAUCGGCCACACUGGAACUGAGACACGGUCCAGACUCCUACGGGAGGCAGCAGUAGGGAAUCUUCCGCAAUGGGCGAAAGCCUGACGGAGCAACGCCGCGUGAGUGAUGAAGGUCUUCGGAUCGUAAAACUCUGUUAUUAGGGAAGAACAUAUGUGUAAGUAACUGUGCACAUCUUGACGGUACCUAAUCAGAAAGCCACGGCUAACUACGUG